AUUCCAGCUCCAAUAGCGUAUAUUAAAGUUGUUGCGGUAAAAAAGCUCGUAGUUGGAUUUCUGUUGCGAAUGGCCGGUCUUCACUACGUGAAUGUAUCUGGUUCAAUCGUGGCAUCCUCAUAGGAAACGUUGCUGCGCUUCACUGCGUGGUGCGGUGCCUAUGACUUUUACUUUGAGGAAAUCAGAGUGUUCACGGCAGGCAAUCGCCCUGAAUAUGUUAGCAUGGAAUAAUAAUAUAGGAUCUUGGUUCUAUUUUGUUGGUUUCUAGAGCUAAGAUAAUGGUUAAUAGGAACAAUUGGGGGCAUUUGUAUUAACAUGUCAGAGGUGGAAUUCUUGGAUUAUGUUACGACAAACUACUGCGAAAGCAUUUGCCAAGGAUGUUUUCAUUA
rnacentral:rRNA from 1 species